GUUGCCAGUACGAAUUCGUACACGGGAUAUUUCAUGUUUUACGAAAAGUUUUGAGAAAAUAAAGUUUUGACGAAUGUUCCAACGUGCUUUGAAUACAAAUACGUGAUAGUGUUGGGAAAACAUUAAAAACAGCUAACGAAGGUUGCGCGUCUAACAACGUUACUCUCUCUCAGACUCUUUCCUCCGCAGAUGUUAUUUAUUCUAUUUAUAAUGUUCUUCAGUUCUCUGCGGAUAGUUCUCGCACCGAAGAACACUAUAAACAAUAACCUUUUUUCUCUAGCUUGUGUAAU